UACGAAGGGGGCUAGCGUUGUUCGGAAUUACUGGGCGUAAAGCGCACGUAGGCGGACAUUUAAGUCAGAGGUGAAAUCCCGGGGCUCAACCCCGGAACUGCCUUUGAUACUGGGUGUCUAGAGUAUGGAAGAGGUGAGUGGAAUUCCGAGUGUAGAGGUGAAAUUCGUAGAUAUUGGGAGGAACACCGGUGGCGAAGGCGGCGAUCUGGGUGGUGACUGACGCUGAGGCGCGAAAGCGUGGGGAGCAAACAGG
rnacentral:rRNA from 1 species